GGUUCCCUCCGAAGUUUCCCUCAGGAUAGCUGGAGCCCAUUACGAGUUCUAUCAGGUAAAGCCAAUGAUUAGAGGCAUUGGGGACGCAACGUCCUCGACCUAUUCUCAAACUUUAAAUAGGUAGGAGUGCUCGGCUGCUUCGGUGAGCCGUGCCACGGAAUCGGGUGCUCCAAGUGGGCCAUUUUUGGUAAGCAGAACUGGCGAUGCGGGAUGAACCGGAAGCCGGGUUACGGUGCCCAACUGCGCGCUAACCUAGAACCCACAAAGG
rnacentral:ncRNA from 1 species